GAUGAACGCUGGCGGCGUGCCUAAUACAUGCAAGUCGAGCGAACGGACGAGAAGCUUGCUUCUCUGAUGUUAGCGGCGGACGGGUGAGUAACACGUGGAUAACCUACCUAUAAGACUGGGAUAACUUCGGGAAACCGGAGCUAAUACCGGAUAAUAUUUUGAACCGCAUGGUUCAAAAGUGAAAGACGGUCUUGCUGUCACUUAUAGAUGGAUCCGCGCUGCAUUAGCUAGUUGGUAAGGUAACGGCUUACCAAGGCAACGAUGCAUAGCCGACCUGAGAGGCUGAUCGGCCACACUGGAAGUGAGACACGGUCCAGACUCCUACGGGAGGCAGCAGUAGGGAAUCGUCCGCAAUGGGCGAAAGCCUGACGCAGCAACGCCGCGUGAGUGAUGAAGGUCUUCGGAGCGUAAAACUCUGUUAUUAGGGAAGAACAUAUGUGUAAGUAACUGUGCACAUCUUGACGGUACCUAAUCAGAAAGCCACGGCUAACUACGUG
rnacentral:rRNA from 1 species